rnacentral:rRNA from 1 species
CCUACGGGGGACUGCAGUGGGGGAUAUUGCACAAUGGGGGAAACCCUGAUGCAGCGACGCCGCGUGGGCGAAGAAGUAUUUCGGUAUGUAAAGCCCUAUCAGCAGGGAAGAAGAAAUGACGGAACUUGAGAAAGAACCACCGGUUAAUAACGUCCCAGCAGCGGCGGUAAUAGGUAGGGGGCAAGCGUUAUCCGGAUUUACUGGGUGGAAAGGGAGCGCAGGCGGCAGGGCAAGCCAGUUGUGAAAGCCCGCGGCCAAACCGCGGGACUGCAUUGGGAACUGCCGGGCUGGAGUGCCGGAGAGGUAGGCGGAAUUCCGAGUGUAGCGGUGAAAUGCGUAGAUAUUAGGAGGAACACCAGUGGCGAAGGCGGCCUACUGGACGGUGACUGACGCUGAGGCUCGAAAGCGUGGGGAGCAAACAGGAUUAGAUACCCGUGUAGUC